AUUGAACGCUGGCGGCAGGCCUAACACAUGCAAGUCGAGCGGAUGAAGGGAGCUUGUUCUUGGCUUCAGCGGCGGACGGGUGAGUAAUGCAUAGGAAUCUGCCUGGUAGAGGGGGAUAACGUCCGGAAACGGGCGCUAAUACCGCAUACGUCCAGAGGGUGAAAGGGGGGGAUCUUCGGACCUCACGCUAUCAGCUGAGCCUAGGUCGGAUUAGCUAGUUGGUGAGGUAAAGGCCUACCAAGGCGACGAUGCGUAGCUGGCCUGAGAGGAUGAUCAGUCACACUGGAACUGAGACACGGUCCAGACUCCUACGGGAGGCAGCAGUAGGGAAUAUUGCGCAAUGGGCGAAAGCCUGAUGCAGCCAUGCCGCGUGUGUGAAGAAGGUCUUCGGAUUGUAAAGCUCUGUUAGUUGGGAAGAACAAAUGUGAGAGUAACUCUGGCUGUUUUGACGGUACCAACAGAAAAAGCACCGGCUAACUACGUG
rnacentral:rRNA from 1 species